AAUGUCAAGGCAUUGGGUGACAUGUUCUAAUUAAAGACCUUUAUCCAAUUAGCAUAUAUAUUUAUUUGAUGCUAAGGACUUGAGAAGGGACAAAAGGAAACAGAAAUCCCAUAGCUUUAUGCCACAUAUAAGCUAGGGCUUAUGCAUAUUGACACUAGUCAUAUGCAGCUUUUAUAAAAAAGCAUAAUAAUCUAAGCAAGAAAUACAUAUAUAAAUAUAUAGGACAAAUGGA
rnacentral:lncRNA from 1 species